UUAAGCUUUCCAUUCUGAAGUAUGUUUACCAACCUGUUCAAGACUUCAUAGUCUAACUCUUCACUCAAAAAGUACUUCAAUUAGACUUGUUUCUUAUCCCUUUUGUCCAGGACAGUGGUACAAAUUAUGGAUAGAACAGUGUUGUUCAAAGGCCUAAAAUGACCUAUCAAUUUGCAAAGUGUUUAUUCUGCAUUAAAGAUGUAUGUUAAACCUGGCUUUCACCACUAUCUAUAAUUAAUCUUAGUAUCAUAUUGAGGGAAUUUUGCAGAUGCCUCUUUGAAAUAAUCCAUAUUUUUAAGAUCUAAGUGGUACAACUUUUGACAGACAUUCUUUCACAAUUUUAUUUUAAGCUGUUUUCACUUAAACUGUUUUCUCAGUAUAGAUACUUUCAGGGAGAAUUGCAUAUUAUCUUUUGCUGAAAACAUUUACAACUUUGUCUUAUAUUUUUACAUAAUUCCUUCACUAGUUUUAGAUAGUUUUCUAAUGGAAUACUGUAUACAUUUUCAUAAGAUCAAAAUAUAACUAAUUAAUGAGAGAAUCAGCAGGAUUACAAAACUAGUUCAAAACAGGACAUGAAAAUAGAAAUUUUAUAUAAAGAUCAAAAAGGAAUGCUGUAAUAACGUUGGUACGUUAGAUACUGUACUGGCCAAUACCAUACAGAGUAAUAAAAUUAAACGUUGGGUUAUCUCUUCAACCUAACAAAAAUAUAAAUUAUCUCAUUUGAUCUUUUUUCAAAAAAUAGGAACGCUAAUUUUAAGAGGUGUAAAAUGUCUGGGCAUAUUCCUAAUGAGUAGAAAACAAAGUAAAGGUAACAAAGUCACAUUUCACUAGUGAGUGAGAGGACAUUUAUUGGGCUUAUGCUCUAGCAUGACAUUAACAAAUCACUAAAUUGCCUUUUUUCCUUAUUUACAGUUGUGAAUAUUUUUUAUUAAUAGUAAUGUCAUCUAUUUUUGAAAUUAGAAGGAUUCUUCCAAACAUAUGCGCAAAAUACUAGAAGUAAUUUUUUUUUUUUUUGUGGUACGCGGGCCUCUCAUUGUUGUGGCCUCUCCCGUUGCGGAGCACAGGCUCCGGGCGCGCGGGCUUAGAGGCCAUGGCUCACGGACCCAGCCGCUCCGCGGCAUGUGGGAUCUUCCCGGACCGGGGCAUGAACCCGUGUCCCCUGCAUCAGCAGACGGACUUGCAACCACUGCACCACCAGGGAAGCCCUAGAAGUAAUUUUUAGUAUAUUUUAUGGCCCUAACGUUGUCAUUAUUAACUAUUCAUUCACAUUAAUUAUAAUGAUUAGCAGGUGAUAAUUGAACCAAAUUCUUCCUCACAUAGCAUACUAUGACAGUUACACAGAAGACUAUUUAUUUAUUCAUUUAUUUAUUCACUUAUUUAUAACAUCUUUAUUGGAGUAUAAUGCUUUACAAUGGUGUGUUAGCUUCUGCUGUAUGACAAAGUGAAUCAGCUAUAUGUAUAUAUAUAUCCCCAUAUACCCUGCGUCUUGUGUCUCCUUCCCACCCUCCCUAUCCCACUCUUCUGGGUGGUCACAAAGCACUGAGCUGGUCUCCCUGUGCAUGCAGCUGCUUCCCACUAGCUAUCUGUGUUACAUUUGGUAAUGUAUAUAUGUCAAUGCUGCUCUCUCACUUCGUCCCAGCUUACCCUUCCCCCUCCCCUUGUCCUCAAAGUCCAUUCUCUACAUCUGCAUCUUUAUUCCUGUCCUGCCCCUAGGUUCUUCAGAACCUUUUUUUUUUUUUUAAGAUUCCAUAUAUAUGUGUUAGCAUACAGUAUUUGUUUUUCUCUUUUUGACUUACUUCACUCUGUAUGACAGACUCUAGAUCCAUCCACCUCACUACAAAUAACUCAAUUUCGUUUCUUUUUAUGGCUGAGUAAUAUUCCAUUGUAUGUAUGUGCCACAUCUUCUUUAUCCAUUCAUCUGUCGAUGGACACUUAGGUUGCUUCCAUGUCCUGGCUAUUGUAAAUAGAGCUGCAAUGAACAUUUUGGUACAUGACUCUUUGAAUUAUGGUUUUCUCAGGGUAUAUGCCCAGGAGUGGGAUUGCUGGGUCAUAUGGUAGUUCUAUUUGUAGUUUUUUAAGGAACAUCCAUACUGUUCUCCAUAGUGGCUGUAUCAAUUUACAUUCCCACCAACAGUGCAAGAGGCUUCCCUUCUCUCCACACCCUCUCCAGCAUUUAUUGUUUGUAGAGUUUUUGAUGAUGGCCAUUCUGACUGGUGUAAGGUGAUAACCUCAUUGGACUUCUUAUUGGCAUUUCUCUAGUGAUUAGUGAAGUUGAGCAUCCUUUCAUGUGUUUGUUGGCAAUCUGUAUAUCUUCUUUGGAGAAAUGUCUAUUUAGGUCUUCUGCCCAGUUUUGGAUUCAGUUGUUUGUUUUUUUGAUAUUGAGCUGCAUGACAUGAGCUGCUUGUAUAUUUUGGAGAUUAAUCCUUUGUCAGUUGCUUCAUUUGUAAAUAUUUUCUCCCAUUCUGAGGGUUGUCUUUUGGUCUUGUUUAUGGUUUCCUUUGCUAUGCAAAAGCUUCUAAGUUUCAUUAGGUCCCAUUUGUUUAUUUUUAUUUCCAUUUCUCUAGGAGGUGGUUCAAAAGGGAUCUUGCUGUGAUUUAUGUCAUAGAGUGUUCUUCCUAUGUUUUCCUCUAAGAGUGUCUGGCCUUUCAUUUAGGUCUUUAAUCUAUCUCACUUUGAAUGUAACUCCCUAAAGUAAGAGAGAACAUUUUUUAUUUGCACAUACUCAUAUGAACUACAUAAUGGUUAUAGCCCUAAAAUGAGAAAAAAAAAGAAAAAGAUUCAUGAACAAGUGUAUUCUCAUCAUUAUGCUUCAAGGAAUUAUUCCACAAAUACAUAGAUUUUUAAAAAUAAUAUGGAAUAAUAGGAUACUUAAGCAUGACUUCAAGUUACUACAGUGUAUCUGGACAAAACUCUAACUCGAAAAGAUACAUGCACCCCAGUGUUCAUCGCAACCCUGUUUACAAUAGCCAAGACAAGGAAGCAACCUAAAUGUCCAUCAGCAGAUGAAUAGAUAAAGAAGAUGUAGUGUGUGUAUAUAUAUAUGUUACUAAGCCAUAAAAAAGAAUGAAAUAAUGCCAUUUGCAGCUACAUGGAUGCACCUAGAGAUUAUCAUACUAAGUGAAGUAAGUCAGACAGAAAGGCAAAUAUCAUAUGAUAUCACAUAUAUGUGGAAUCUAAAAAAGAAACGAUACAAAUGAACUUAUUUACAAAACAGAAAUAGACUCACAAACAUAGAAAAUAAACUUAUGUUUACCAAAGGAGAAAGGGGAGGAGGGAUAAAUUUGGAAUUUGUUAUUAACAUAUACACACUACUAUAUAUAAAAUAGAUAUACAAGGACCUACCGUAAAACACAGGGAAUUAUAUUUAAUAUCUUGUAAUAACCUGUAAUGGAAAAUAAUCUGAUAUAUCUAUGUACAUAUGUAUUAUAUAUAUGACUGAAUAAUUUUGCUGUACACCUGAAACAUUGUAAAUCAAUUGUACUUCCAUAAAGCAAUACAAAAAUUUUUUAAAAGUUACUACAAUGAAGGAAAACAAAAUAUAAUAGAAACUUUUGAAAAUAUG